rnacentral:rRNA from 1 species
GUGGGGAAUCUUGCGCAAUGGGCGAAAGCCUGACGCAGCCAUGCCGCGUGAAUGAUGAAGGUCUUAGGAUUGUAAAAUUCUUUCACCGGGGACGAUAAUGACGGUACCCGGAGAAGAAGCUCCGGCUAACUUCGUGCCAGCAGCCGCGGUAAUACGAAGGGGGCUAGCGUUGCUCGGAAUUACUGGGCGUAAAGGGCGCGUAGGCGGACAGCUUAGUCAGAGGUGAAAGCCCAGGGCUCAACCUUGGAAUUGCCUUUGAUACUGGCUGUCUUGAGUUUGGGAGAGGUGAGUGGAACUCCGAGUGUAGAGGUUAAAUUCGUAGAUAUUCGGAAGAACCCCAGUGGCGAAGGCGACUCACUGGCCCAAUACUGACGCUGAGGCGCGAAAGCGUGGGGAGCAAACAGGAUUAGAUACCCGUGUAGUCC